GGGCCCAUGGCGCAGCGGUAGCGCGUCUCAUUUGCAAUGAGAAGGUCGUCGGUUCGAAUCCGACUGGGUCCA
rnacentral:tRNA from 1 species